GGACUACCGGGGUUUCUAAUCCUGUUUGCUACCCACGCUUUCGUAUCUCAGCGUCAGUCGUGGUCCAGUAAGCUGUCUACACCACAGGUGUUCCUCCUGAUAUCUACGCAUUUCACCGCUACACCAGGAAUUCCGCUUACCUCUCCCACACUCGAGCACUCCAGUUUCCGCCGCACCCUCCCAGUUGAGCCGGGAGAUUUCACAACAGACUUAGAGCACCGCCUACAUACUCUUUACGCCCAGUAAUUCCGAACAACGCUUGCUGCCUACGUAUUACCGCGGCUGCUGGCAC
rnacentral:rRNA from 1 species